UUGAUAUGUCUUGUAGGGAC
rnacentral:miRNA from 1 species